rnacentral:rRNA from 1 species
UACGGAGGAUGCGAGUGUUAUCCGGAAUCACUGGGCGUAAAGCGUCUGUAGGUUGUUUGCUAAGUCUGCUGUUAAAGCUUGAAGCUCAACAUUCAAAAUGCAGCGGAACUAGUAGACUUGAGUGUGGUAGGGGUAGAGGGAAUUUCCAGUGAAGUGGUGAAAUGCGUAGAUAUUGGAAAGACCACCAAUGGCGAAGGCACUCUACUGGGCCACUACUGACACUGAGAGACGAAAGCUAGGGGAGCAAAUGGG